UCUUCACAUGAGUAUCACUAGUCGACCGUUUAUCCAGCCAACUUCGUUUUAAACCGUGGUGUUCGAAAAGUAAUUUCGUUUCUUCACGCGAGUGUCGCUAGUCGAACGUUUAUUCAGCCAACUUCGUUUUAAACCGUGUUAAUAUCGUAUAUUUUGUGAGUUGGCAUUUCACGGUUUAUUUAUAAGAAAAAUUCAUUCGAUUUUGUGCGGUUGCGUUUUUCACACGUGAUUUAACAAAGAUGCGAAACCGAAAGGAGCAUUUUCGGCAUAUUUUACUUUUUUAUUACCGAAAAAGUGAGGAAUGCUGUUCAGACAAGAAAAAAGUUGUGAAGUCUCUUGUGAGAAGGUGUAUUAAGGAUACGCCAGUGUCAAACUGGUUUUCAAAAUUUCGUUCCGACAAUUUCGACGUUAAUGACCACGUUCUGGAAGACCAAUCGAAGACAAAAUAAAGUCAAACGAAGGGAACCAACGAACAACUCGAGAGAUUGCCACGAGAUUGAACUUCUCGAAUUUCUCGAAUUUCUCGAUUGUUCGUGAUCGCGUGAAACGACUUGGUGUUUCGUUGUCAUGAAAAAGAAACAAAAUUACUUUUCAAACAACCAUAUUUCGUAGGAGAGAGAAGAGCGAAACGAAGGGAGCAGCUGCGACUUUUCCACCCUCGAAAAGAUGGAAGCAGAGUUGGAAAAAAGAUGGUAAGCAGGGGUUCCGGUGCUCGGAUACGGAACAGGCAGCGGAAAAUUUAUCGAGCUCUCGGUGUGGCGGGAGUCAAGCUGCGUGCAGCAACACGCGACUGCGCCACCGACGCCCAUCGCUUUAUGAAAACGAUGAUUUCUGGGCAAAGAUUUCCCGGAGGGGCCGUGCACGAUAAUUCGCUUCUCAUUCAAAUCGACCGCCACUCGAUCGAUUUCGCUAAAGAGAAACGUUCACGGAAGUUAUCUUAUCCCUUAAAUCCAUCUAAACCCGGCAUAAAUCAGGACCAUGACCUAGACAGCGUACGGGCUGUCGCUACGGAUCGUCUAGUAUGCGCGGGAUGAACGAUGGAGGGAGAAAAAUGAAAAGAAGAAAAAAAGGAGAAGAGGCUCCUAAAAAUAAUAUCGUAAAACCACGAACCACGAUGAUGGCUUGUCUACGCGCGACGUGGAAGUCUAUUUCGAACCGAAAGACAUUCUGUAUCCAGCCGUUCUCGCAACACGCAGCCUUUGAUACAGCCACGAUAUAUACGUAUAUACACGGGAGAGAACUGCAUCCCCUUCGAUGCCUGCCAGGGGUUCUCAGCCGUGUAAACAAGCGCGGGGUGUAAGCGGAUCUUCUCCCCUUCGUGGAAAAACACUGGAAAAUUUCCGUGGAUUCAAACAUGCUACUUUUGUUAAUCACAAAUCUGGGAGCAAGAGGAGAGAAUUCGUUCGUGCAUCGAGAUUGAGAACCGCUGUAAAUCGGCGUGCACAUCUGGCUACCCUGGAAACGUGGGAGUUGAGAGUAAAGUAUAAACUAUGGGGUGGCACCCCAUCUCGUAGCGGGCUACCUACCACCUCCUCCUCCCACCAUAGACGUAGGUAAUAUCAUCGUCCACGCGAGUUGCCAGCCCCGUCUACGCAACUCGUUGCACGAAAUAGGGUGACAAAGGUACAGAAAUACUAAUACAAACGUACAAAACAGAGAUACACUGUUGGCGUGGUAGUAGUAGCUAGCCACCACACAUUUGGACGAAAUAGAACGGGCGAAAUGCGCAUUUGUGCGAGAGAGGAGGGGGAGGCUCGUGCAAGAGAGGCUAUAAAUUUAAAGGGGACGCGCAGGGUCGCGCAGUGCCCCAUGGAAGCCAGUUUCCAUGGUGGUCCAGAUCUCUCGUGGCGGCCAGAAACGCGCAAAGGGUUGCUAAAAGCCAUUCACGGGACUAAUGGCUAAUGGGGUGUCCUUAACACGCUGCCGAAUCUACUGCGCCGUUUACCUCCCCCUUUGUGCCUUCGAGAGCGAAUCCAUCCCGAAUACCCGAGGAAGAAAUUCAUUUAUUAACCCACCAGUUGCCCUAUUUACGAAACGAAACUUGAAGAAUAGCUUCUAUAUAAUUCCUCCGAUUCUUGUCAACAGAUUCUACUGCGCCGUUUACCUUUUGUACCUUCGAGAGCAAAUCCAUCCCGAAUAUUCGAAGAAGAAAUUCAUACGAAACUUGGAGAAUAGCAUAUAAGAGAUUCUUCACGGAGGAGAAGAAGAAAGGAGAAGGAUAACCACUGAAAGAUUGUAGGAGAAUAUAAUAUACAAUUUAUUUUUCUUUUUGAUAGUAAUUUCUCCUAUUCUUGUCAACAGAUCCUACUGUGUCAUUUUACCUCCUCCUUUGUGCCUUCAAGAGCAAAUCCAUCAAAUAUUCGAGGAAGAUAUUUAUAUAAAACUUGAAGAAUAGCAUGUAAUGCAGAGAUUCUUCACGAAGGACAAGAAGAAAGGAGAAGGAUAAACUGAAAGAUUAUCCUACUGUGUCAUUUUACCUCCUCCUUUGUGCCUUCAAGAGCAAAUCCAUCAAAUAUUCGAGGAAGAUAUUUAUAUAAAACUUGAAGAAUAGCAUGUAAUGCAGAGAUUCUUCACGAAGGACAGGAGAGAAGAAAAGGAGAAGGAUAGCCACUGAAAGAUGAUCCUACUGUGCUCUUUACCUUCCCCUUUGUGCCUUCAAGAGCAAAUCCAUCAAAUAUUCGAAGAAGAUAUUUAUAUGAAACUUGGAGAAUAGCAUGUAAUGCAAAGAUUCUUCAUUGAAAAAUGAUCCUACUGUGCUCAUUACCUCCCCCUUUGUGCCUUCAAGAGCAAAUCCAUCAAAUAUUCAAAGAAGAUAUUUAUAUGAAACUUGGAGAAUAGCAUGUAAUACAGAGAUUCUUCACGAAGGACAAGAAGAAAGGAGAAGGAUAGCCAGUGAAAGAUUAUCCUACUGUGCUCUUUACCUCCUCCUUUGUGCCUUCAAGAGCAAAUCCAUCCAAUAUUCGAAGAAGAUAUUCAUACAAAACUUGUAGAAUAGCAUGUAAUGCAGAGAUUCUUCACGGAGGAGAAGAAGAAAGGAGAAGGAUAGCCAGUGAAAGAUGAUAAAUAUUGAGGAUUAAAUAGGGUCCAGGCCAAGCGGUUGUUUCUCUGUCAACCCUCUGUCAAUCUUCCCCUUCCGGAAUCGAAGAAAUCUCACCGCAAUUUUGAAGCAUCCACUCGGGUUGAAUA